CUGAAUCCGGGUCGACCACGAUCCAACCCUAAAUACUAAUACCAGAUCGAUAGUGCACAAGUACCGUGAGGGAAAGGUGAAAAGAACUGAGGUGAUCAGAGUGAAAUAGAACCUGAAACCAUUUGCUUACAAUCAUUCAGAGCCCUAUGUAGCAAUACAGGGUGAUGGACUGCCUUUUGCAUAAUGAGCCUGCGAGUUGUGGUGUCUGGCAAGGUUAAGCAAACGCGAAGCCGUAGCGAAAGCGAGUCUGAAUAGGGCGCUUAGUCAGAUGCUGCAGACCCGAAACGAAGUGAUCUAUCCAUGAGCAAGUUGAAGCUAGUGUAAGAACUAGUGGAGGACUGAACCCAUAGGCGUUGAAAAGCCCCGGGAUGACUUGUGGAUAGGGGUGAAAGGCCAAUCAAACUUCGUGAUAGCUGGUUCUCUCCGAAAUAUAUUUAGGUAUAGCGUUGUGUCGUAAUAUAAGGGGGUAGAGCACUGAAUGGGCUAGGGCAUACACCAAUGUACCAAACCCUAUCAAACUCCGAAUACCUUAUAUGUAAUCACAGCAGUCAGGCGGCGAGUGAUAAAAUCCGUCGUCAAGAGGGAAACAACCCAGACUACCAGCUAAGGUCCCUAAAUCUUACUUAAGUGGAAAACGAUGUGAAGUUACUUAAACAACCAGGAGGUUGGCUUAGAAGCAGCCAUCCUUUAAAGAAAGCGUAAUAGCUCACUGGUCUAGUGAUUUUGCGCGGAAAAUAUAACGGGGCUAAAGUAA
rnacentral:rRNA from 1 species